AUUUGACCCAAAUGUACACUGUAUCAUGCAACAUACAACAAGGAAUCAAACUGAAGAUACUAUCAAACAAACUUCUCUUUGGUUCUAAUCUGCAAAAUUCUCAGGUAUUUUUGGGUCAAAUUUUCUGCAGWACKGUAUAUACAACAAGAUCCCAGCUUCUCAUGCUUCAUCUGGGGCACANUCUGGUUAAAAUUGCACNACMAAAUGUACACAUCAAGGAUAUCAGGAAAUGKKUUUGACAGUAAAAGGUGCAGACAGUUAUAAAUAAACCCAACUGACCAUCAACUAAAUGAAUUCAGAAAACUAACAGAAAGCAUCUCACCAUUAGUCAAAGUUCUCGGUCUGUCCAGGACCGGGAUUGUUCACGUUAGGAACACAAAAUCCAGGUGGGGGUGCAAUUUGACCCCUCCCCAGCCCAGGGGUUAUAAUACCACGGCCGACAGCAUUUGGAACACCACCUCUACCUAUACCGCGUCCACUAGGCAUAACAGGUGUGAAAGCUUCUUGUGUACCUAUGUGUAUAAAAUGAUCAACAUUGGUAAAGUGUUACAAUAUAUACACACAGAAUGUGGAAAUUCCAUGAAAACUAAGAUUUCAAACAUGAACCAUAACUCUGCUGAAACUUGUUACAGCUAAAACAUAACUCCAGGUGCAUGAAUUACAAGUUGAUACACACUGCUCAAAUUUCAUGACCAUAACUNAAAUGAUUUUGAAUAUAAAUGCAACACAAAAAUAUGUCAAUGUCUGUCUAACUACAUGUCCACCUAAGAUUAACAGUUUAYAUGUGUGGGCAUUAGUCAUACCAUUAUGA
rnacentral:sRNA from 1 species